UCCUUUCUGUUGUACAACUGACUAGGUACCCCCUUUCCUUUCUGUUGUACAACUGACUAGGUAUCCCCCUUUCCGUUCUGUUGUACAACUGAAUAUAUUUUUGAAUAUACUGAAUAUAUUUUUAUUUUUAAUCCCAGCCUCCGUCCCCUCGGGAGGCCUUUUGCAUUUUGGUAGGCCGUCAUUGUAAAGAAGAACUUGUUCUUAUCAAUCAAAUCAAUCAAUUCAUCAAAGGUAUUUAUAAAGCACUUCUCACAUCAGUUGAUGUCAUAAAGUGCUGUACAGAAACCCAGCCUAAAACCCCAAACAGCAAGCAAUGCAGGUGUAGAAGCACGGUGGCUAGGAAAAACUCCCUAGAAAGGCCUAAACCUAGGAAGAAACCUAGAGAGGAACCAGGCUAUGAGGGGUGGCCAGUCCUCUUCUGGCUUUGCCAGGUGGAGAUUAAAACAGUACAUGGCCAAGAUGUUCAAAUGUUCAUAAAUGACCAGCAGGGUCAAAUAAUA
ensembl:lncRNA